rnacentral:rRNA from 1 species
UACACUCCUGCGGGAGGCAGCAGUAGGGAAUCUUCCACAAUGGGUGCAAACCUGAUGGAGCAAUGCCGCGUGAGUGAAGAAGGUCUUCGGAUCGUAAAGCUCUGUUGUUAGAGAAGAACACGUGCUAGGUAACUACUAGCGCCUUGACGGUAUCUAACCAGAAAGUCACGGCUAACUACGUGCCAGCAGCCGCGGUAAUACGUAGGUGACAAGCGUUGUCCGGAUUUAUUGGGCGUAAAGGGAGCGCAGGCGGUCUGUUUAGUCUAAUGUGAAAGCCCACGGCUUAACCGUGGAACGGCAUUGGAAACUGACAGACUUGAAUGUAGAAGAGGAAAAUGGAAUUCCAAGUGUAGCGGUGGAAUGCGUAGAUAUUUGGAGGAACACCAGUGGCGAAGGCGAUUUUCUGGUCUAACAUUGACGCUGAGGCUCGAAAGCGUGGGGAGCGAACAGGAUUAGAUACCCCUGUAGUCCCA